AUUGAACGCUGGCGGCAUGCCUAACACAUGCAAGUCGAGCGAGCGGCGGAAGGGAUAGUAAUGUAUGGGGAACUGCCCGAUAGAGGGGGAUAACUACUGGAAACGGUGGCUAAUACCGCCUACUACCGGCGGAACCCAUAUGGGAUUAGCUAGUGGGUGGGGUAAAGGCUCACCUCGGCGACGAUCUCUAGCUGGUCUGAGAGGAUGAUCAGCCACACUGGGACUGAGACACGGCCCAGACUCCUACGGGAGGCAGCAGUGGGGAAUUUUGGACAAUGGGGGAAAGCCUGAUGCAGCCAUGCCGCGUGUGUGAAGAAGGCCUUAGGGUUGUAAAGUACUUUCAGCGGGGAGGCGGUACCCGCAGAAUAAGCACCGGCUAACUACGUGCCAGCAGCCGCGGUAAUAC
rnacentral:rRNA from 1 species